CUCCUUGGCGCGGGCGCCGGCGCCGGCAUGGCGCAGUCUUUGCCGCCGUCGCUGGUACCGCAGUCCGGGGCGGCGGUGGCAGCGCCGAGGCCCACGUCGUUCGGGCGCACCAUGUGGACGGUCAUCACCGUGGCCAUCAGCGCCUUCUUCUUCCUGCUCUUCUUCUGCAGCUACAUCAACCAGUGCCUCCUCACCGAGAACGCCGCGCCGCAAGGGGCCAACGCCGCCGCGACCGGGCCGGGGCGUCCAGGAGGGGAACGCACGGGCUGGACCCGGCGAUGGUGGCACAAGAUCGGCAGGGGGUGUGCUGGAGUGCGUUGUCUGCCUGAUGGCGUUCAAGGAGGCCGACGACCUCCGGUUGCUUCAAGCAGUCCCAUCUGUCUAGAAGCAGCGGCAAGCUUAUAUCUUCUUCUCUUUUCUCGUCGUGCUCUUUAUCGGUCGAUCGCGCGCAAUAAUCCAUACAAAUUGGUUUGCGAUGCAUAUAUGACAUUUUUUAGAAAUUUCCAAUCUAUUCAUCUCAAAUCAUGA
rnacentral:rRNA from 1 species